CAGGAAACGAGGGUGAGUGCAGGCCUGAGAGGAAACAGUCAACCCAGAGGGGAGCCAGAAUAAUUCCUGGCUUAUCACAAGAGUUCGCUAGUCAUCGGCUCCCUUCCUUCCGUCUUCCUUUCAGAGUAAUACUGGCCUGGAUGUGUUAGGAAGAGGUGCAAUGAAGAAACUAGAACAGAUAAAGGAGGCGAGAGUAACUCAGGACAAGAGCGGUGGCUUCACUGAGGACGUGCUAUUGGAACUAACCCCACAGGGAGAAGAAGGAGCCACGCCCUGUUCCAGAGGAAAAGCGUCCCAGGCCACGGGAGCAGCAAGAGCAGAGACCUGAGAUGGGAACAAGCCUGGCAUGUGGUGCUGACAGAAAAUAGGCUGGCGGGUGUGGUUGGAACACAGUGAAAGGGGGUGUGGUGUA